GGGGACAAAGUGACAGGUGGUGCAUGGUUGUCGUCAGCUCGUGUCGUGAGAUGUUGGGUUAAGUCCCGCAACGAGCGCAACCCUUAUUGUUAGUUGCCAUCAUUUAGUUGGGCACUCUAGCGAGACUGCCGGUGACAAACCGGAGGAAGGUGGGGAUGACGUCAAAUCAUCAUGCCCCUUAUGACCUGGGCUACACACGUGCUACAAUGGGAAGUACAACGAGUCGCUAGACCGCGAGGUCAUGCAAAUCUCUUAAAGCUUCUCUCAGUUCGGAUUGCAGGCUGCAACUCGCCUGCAUGAAGCCGGAAUCGCUAGUAAUCGCGGAUCAGCACGCCGCGGUGAAUACGUUCCCGGGCCUUGUACACACCGCCCGUCACACCACGAGAGUUUGUAACACCCGAAGUCGG
rnacentral:rRNA from 1 species